rnacentral:lncRNA from 1 species
UGCCCACACUUUCCCCAGAGCUUAAACAUAGCCUUGUUACGAUCUGUGCUUCUUCUCAACUGGCAGCCACCUCUGUGACAAUGUCCCCACAGCAAUAAAAAGAUCACUAACACAUUUGAUGUUCAGAUGGAGUGCUAAACUACAAGAAAGAAAAUAUUAAGCACAAACAUCCAUAAAUAAUAUGUGUGAUGCAGUUACGCAGUUUGAAAGGCACAAGUUAAGAGCACCAGGGCUCACACACAGCAGUGUUUGGCUGUUAGCAUCUUGGCUGGGCAAAACCAUUUGAAGGCAGGCACAGGCAGCCAUCACCUGGAGACCCGGCUGGGCAGCAGGGCUCAGCCAUCACACCUAGGGAGCCCUGGAGAGGAGCCAUCUGAGGUCCCAUGACAGCCUUGGCCUCAGCCCCUGCACACUGCUAACUCCCAGCCCUCCUUCUGGGUGCAAGGCUCAAGAUGGGUGGGGUGAGGAGGCACAGGUGUGCUGAGGAGAGGUGAGGUGCAGUGGCUAUUUUGUGGAGGUGAGGGGAAGGGGUUUCUCUGGAGAGAGACGGAGAGAUGCUUCUGAAAGUCAGUAAGAGGAAGGGAAACAUGAGCAGCAGUAUAUAGAGGACAAACUUUGGAGGCCAGGAGAUUUGCAGCUUGGUCAUUGAUGAAGGAGAGUCUCAGCCAACUGCAAACGUUCCAGCAGCUCAGUUGAAGUAAAGGCUUUUAGAAUAUCUUGCAACUGAGGGGAUGGGAGCACCAAAGGUCAUGUCUGUGUGUCUUUGAGGGAGCAUGGAAGGCCAAUGGUCUCCUGAGCUGAAUCAAGUUCAUGCUGAAAUCAGUGGAAUUUGGAACAGCUCUUUGUGCUCUGGUUGUAUUCAUGGGGGAAUUUUUUCACAUGAGAGUUUUUCCUCUGCUAGAGUAGAGCUGGCGCUGUGUACCUUGGGCUAUAACUAUUCCCUUGAUAUGACUUCAGCCAUCUGGGAAAAAAAUUAUUUAAUUAAAGCAUUAACUGUACUUUAAUACAGAGAAAUGUAAGUGAUUGAAUCUGAGGGAAAAAUGUAGGCCACAUUUUCACAGUGAAGUUAUUUUGGGAAAGAGCAACUGAA